GAAUUGUAUGGUUGCUGCAAAGUCAUUACUAAGUGCUUGUCCCUGACCUCCAAGGCUAGAGAACUGAAUGGUUUCCCAGAGACUACAUUGAACUAGCUGUAGGUUUAUCCCAAUUUAUAAAAGGAUUUCACACAAAGGUUGAGUGCAGGAAUUGGUAUUAAUAUACCAAAGCACCUCUGGCUUUGAUUAGACCCUAGACUUAGCCCCUCACCCUUGUGGUAGACCUCUUGCAAAGGGUUUCCUAUCCCACAGCUUUACACUCGCCCCAGUGCAUAAAUGCUCAAGUACCUACAAUCUCACAACAAAGCCACUCCCCAUGUGCAGUGACUCAGGGUUGAGAGAGCUGACUACUACAGCUCUAGCAAGCGAUGACCAACUGCCUACCACAAAAAUAAAGAAAAGAAAAGCCUCAGCGAGCUCUGAAUAAGCUACGGAGUUUCCACUAUGUGCCUCCUGUCCUUCAGUAGUCCCAUCUACUCCAAACUCCCCAAACUCCCCACAGCCUCAAGCAGCGGUGUUUCAAAGGCUUGGCUUCUGGAUCCUACAAAAGCACUGCAACCUAAAUAGGAGGAUGGGCCACACUCAAAUGACUCAAACUCCCAGUCUGUUGCUCUAUUUCUGAGAGGGGAUGGUCUACACAGUUAGCAAUGGGGCUGGCUGGUAAAGGGAUGAUCGGAUGGUAGGCACACUGUGCUAAGGAUGAAUCUGGCCCUACUAGCAUAAUGUUUUAAUCACUCAGCCCAUUAGCACUAUGGAUAAUAAAGUGUGACAGACCUCAAGAGUGCAAAUGAUUUGCUCCUCUGCUGUCAUGCCCACAGAGUACCUUCUCCAAGGUCAUACAUUAGAUAAGUAUGGGCACAGGAACAUUCAUUCCUUACUCAAUGACCAUGCUCUCUCACUCCCACAUGCCACCAACAGAAGUGGGAAUGGGGUCUGACUCUGACCAAGGAAGAAUUGUUACCAGACCAAACAUGAGUCCCCUUCUUGGGAGUUAAACUACACCAGAAGUAGUUGUCACACAAAGCAGACAUUUUAUUUGUGGCAUGCAGCAAAGAAAAUGGAGACCAUAGAGAAUAAUUUCACAAAGCAAUGGCUCCCCCAGCACUGGGACGUGGGUACCUUUAUUUGGGAGAGGGAAUGACUAUUCAAAGGGGAAGUUUCAUCAUCACAUGUAGAAGUGGGCAUAAGCUUGGACACGUGGUUUGAAAUCAUGCUUUUACACACAUCACAGGAUCUAAAAGUGGCUGCUUUGCCCCUCCCAGAGGAGGAGAAUUCCAAACAUUAAGGAGGGCAGGUUAUUUUAGUACAACUCUGCCUGUCUGUGCAGGUGUCAGUCUUGUGGCUGUGGUCUGGGACAGUGUGGUCCUGUUCAGAGUGGUUGGAUCCAGGUCAGUUGUUGCUUAGAGCUUCUUCCUGGAACAUAGCUGAAACCACAUAAGCUCAAGACUCCAAAAGUCGUUAGAGAAAGAAACAUCUGCACCCUUCAGGAAGACAAAAGAAUUAUGUUGAACACAAAAGGUUACAGUUUAAGCAAGACAAGAGAAGCAGGUUAGAGUCCAUGGCUGGUGACAGAAUGGCAAGGCUUCCACAUAUCACAUUCUUAUGCUACAUCACAUGUCAUCUGUGGCUUAGGUGUCACAGAAAGACGAGGCUCGUAUAAACCCAGAAUUUUUCCUUUGGCAGCCAACAAUUGGUCACAUUGCAUGUUUCAAGGUUACAGAGGAUCCCCUCAGUACAAAUGUGGGGCCGUAGCAGACAAUUCUCGCUCAGAGCUUUAAAGCCAGAGCCAAGUGUUCCAUAAGUCGAUAAAACCAGGAAGGCAACCUCUGGAAGCGGGCACCCAAAGGACUCCAGAAAAACCUUUCAUUCUCUGGCUUUCUGGACUUUUCAUCCUGGGGCCUCUUUCUUGGGCAGCGAAAAGCCUCCCCUUCUGGACUGCAGGAGAGGGAUGUGCAGGUCCAUGGCUAAGAUGGGCGGGUGGGAAGACGAGGGGGAGAACAGUUCCUUUACCCCCCAGCAGAGGUAGGCUAUGGAAUGCAGAGGAUUCAAGAACACAGGAAAUGCUAUUUUCUUGGGGCUGGCUAAGGGCUGCUUCCCUUCCCUCCUCCCUCCAAUUAAAAACGAAAGCCCAUGAUGAUGGAGAUCGGGAGAAAGAAGACUUAAGUUGUGUCUCCGGGCUUGUCCUAGCAGAAGCCCUUCCUGGCCCGGUCCUCCCGCUGCUCGUGAAGGGCCUCACCCUGGGCUCUCCGGCACCAUCCUUGCUCUGGCUGCUUCUGUAGCGCGCCUGGCAGAAGGCAUCAAAGUCGAACACUGUGUAGUUGGCGUCGGGCGUGGCCUCACCACGGCCAGGGUCAGACGUGCGCUGCAGGGUGGCCCUGCCCAUCAUCACCAACGCCUGAGAUCGCACGUGAAGGGCCUGGCAGCCUCGGGGCUCCAGGAGUUGCGGUGCGGACGGCCGAGGAAACUCUGCCAACGUAGACCACCUGGGUUUGCGCCUGCGUGAGUGAGACGGGCAGCUGAGCAGCUCAGAGGGCGCCUGCGUGAAUGAGAGACGACGCUGAGCGGCUCACAGGGCGCCUGCGUGGGAGAGAGGAGACUCAGAGACGCUUACAGCGCGCCUGCGUGGGCGAGAGGGGCCACGGAACCUCUCACAGGGUGCCUGCGUGGAUGAGAGGAGCCUGCCAGCCGCUCACCUGGCACCUGUGUGGGCGAGAGGGGCAGUCCAGCUUCUCACAGGGCGCCUGUGCGAAGUACUGCCUUGCCGAGGAGUAAGUCCUGGCUCGUAGCCCCAGGCGCCCUCCGCGAUUUUGAGGAGCAUCCCAGCCUGCCACAACUUCCGCAGUAAUAGCCCGGGCCCCUAUUUAGUUCUUUAAAUAGCUCUACGAGGAAGGUAAUAUCUUCAGAUUUUACCGAGAACGAAACUGCAGCUCUGAGAAUUUAUGUAAGUUACCGAAGGUCAUAGGUCGUGGCGCUGCAACUUCAGCUCCGUGAUCCGAAGCCUGGGCCCAUCCUGUGGAUGCGGGAAAUGGGCGAAGGGAGGGGCUGUGGCUCUGGGAACUUUGAGUAGCAAGACUGUUUCUAGAAGGAUCUGGUGAAACAGAGGCUUCUGGCGUUCUACGUGUUUCUGUCAGGAGUGGCUGAAGACGUGGACAAGGCUGAGUUUUCAGAGUGGCCCUGAGCUAACAUCUGCCGCCAAUCCUCCUCUUUUUGCUGAGGGAGAGUGGCCCUGAGAUAACAUCUGUGCCCAUCUUCGUCUACUUUAUAUGUGGGAUGCCUGCCACAGAAUGACUUGAUGAGCAGGGCAUAGGUCUGCACCUGUGAUUGGAACCAGUGAACCAGGGCCACAAAAGCAGAGCACAUGAACUUAACCACUAUGCUGCUGGGCUGGCCCCAACAAAUAAUGGUUUUGGUAAAUGCUUUCAAAGAUGGCCACCAACACUUCCUCCUGACAAUUCCUCCCUUUCCUGGUGGGAGUGUGUGUAUGUCAAGAGGUGGAGUCUGUUUCCCUCCCCUUGCACCUGGCCUGGCCUUGGGAUUUGCUUUGACCAAUGUAAUGCUGUGGAGGUGACCUUCUGGACUUUGAGCCCUGGCCUGAAGCUCUCCGAAAACUUCUGCUUCACCCCUUGGGACCCAGCUGCUUUGUAAAGAAGCUUGGGCCAGACAGCCAAGAAUGUGAAGAGAGAGAGAGACCCAGCCAGCCCCUGGCUAUUCCGGCAGCAGCUGUAUGAGUGAAGGCAUUUUGGGCUUUCCACUUUCUGAUUGAGCUCUCAGAUGAAUGUAGCCGCAAAAGUGACCCAGCCAGUACCACGUGGAGCAGGAGAACCCUCCAUCUGAGCCCAGACAAGUUUGGCUUGGCACCAUCUUUUGUAAGAAGCUCCUUAUCUGCCUCACCUUCAGUGUCUCCAUCAGCCCGUUCAUCCUUCACACAGCCACCAGAGUUAUCUUCCUGCGCACAAGUUGGAGAAUGUCAUUUGCUUUAUCAGAAACUUGAACGGCUUUUUAUUCCCUAUAGAAUAAAGAAAAAAAUUAAAAAAAAUUUUUAAUAUGUGAAUAACAUGUACUUAUGGCUAAUGGUAGUUAUAUUUACUAACUGAAACAAAACAAAACAAAACACAGCAUACAGACUCUUCUACUCUGUUUGGCCCAGAAGUGUCUGAACCUCUCUACCUGGGAUGAAAGAGAGCAGUUGUUUACCUCCCACACAGUGUAGCCAAGGCCAGCUACAAGAGUUUGCUCAUGUUAUUGUCCAUCCGUGAGAGGUGAACUCCAGCUCGUGGAGAUUUCUAUGAAGCAUUUCAAUUUUUUUGAAAGAAAAUAUUAAUGGAACACUUGCUUUAUGCAUUAUUAUUAUUGUUGUUGUUAUUAUUGCCGCCACUCUUGACAAUGAGAGUGCGCAAGAAACGGUUGCUCCCUUAUCUUCACUAUAGAGGGAAUGGCCCAUCCCUGCCUUGUUCUUGCCCCUUUUGUCUUUGAUGUACACAUUUAAACUUACUUUUCAAUAAGACUAGGUUUCAGCUAGAAUUCACUUCUAACAAAUGAUGAAAGUCAUUUGGAAAAGAUCCAGUAGAGGAAGUUUCAUCAACCUGGUCCUUUCUAGAACUUCCCAAUAGAGAAGCACCAAGUUAAUCAGAGCUAUCCUUGCUCAAACCUUCCCUGGAGCAGGGGUGCCCGUUUGGAUUUCAGUGGACUUUCAUGUUGGACAAGAGCCCCUCCUGUGAGCAAAAAGAAAACAGUUGCUGUUAAUAUCCAAAAAAUGAAAUCUAAGUGGGUGUUGCCAAGAAAAUGUAUCAACAAUGCAAGUGAUUUUGAUUGUUCAGCUUACAAAGAGAACCUGCUUGGAAGCCUUACCCUUCCACUUGUAGUCACUUGUAGGUCACUUGUAGGUCACAGGUGAGAGUGAUUGGGAGGGGAAGAAAGACCUGUGAACAGGGAUGGGAAAGCAGGAACGUGAAUUCUCGAGUAGCUUUGUGUUCAGAAGCAGUAGCUGCUAAAGGAACAGAAUUUUCUCAUGUUUUAUAAUCUAUUCCAGAUUUUCCCCAGACUUUUCAAUACCAAGGACCCUUUUAGUAAUUGACACCUCCCUCGUGUACCCAGUUUUUAAAAUAUUUUGUCUACAAAAUGAUUUUACUAUGUAAUGACUAAUACAGAUGUGUAUAUAUAUAUAUAUUUUUUUUUAAUUAGUCAAACAACCACAACACAUGGUUGUCAGGCAGAAUGUCUAAUGAAGUGGAGAACUGAUAUGAUUCCAGCCAAACACAAACUUUUUGUUGUUGUUGGCUUGUGUGGAUGUAUUGUUUGAUUUUCAUUGGACCUUCAGAAAUGUAAAAAUACUUAAGGGGCUCCCUUUGCACCUUCCCAGGUUGCUAGGAGGCUAGGAAAUCCUAGAAUUUAUAGGAGGUUAUUUUAUAAUCUUUCUAGAUAGGAAGUAAUCAUCCUGAGAUAUUAAAAAGUGUUAAGUGUACAGUUUUGGGCAUUACAAAGUUAUGUGAUGGACUUCUGCUGAAUGUUGGUCUAAGACACACCAAAGAUAACUGAAUUAUGAGCACUUCAAAUUAAUCUGUGCCGACCUGUCAGGAGGAAUUUAUGAUUUCAUUUUUAGAAAUAGGAUAAAGAAAUGAAAUAAAGUCUAAUUCUAGUGUGUAAAUUAGGGAAAUCAACCUUUUCCAGUAUGGUCCUGAAUAAACUGCUUUCUCUUUGACAUGCUCAAGAGCAUGGUCUUCCCUUUAAUUCACAUCAUGAAAUAAUUGCCCUGGUGGAAGUCAGAAACAUGCAAUGUAAUAUAUUAGUUUUACUCAAUGAUUCUUGAGAGGUGAUACCUCAAUUAACAAAUCCUCAGGGAAAGAGGCAGUGUUGAAAAAAAUAUGCUCCAAUCUCAUCUUCAUAAAUCAAGCCAGGCAGAACUGCCUCUAGGCAUUGGCAAGACAAAAACAACCCCUGAGAAGAGUGGCUCUCAGCUCGGCCCAGAUAGAGGCAAAGAGGGCCAUUCUUUGGUGAAUUUAUACAUUAUUUCCACGUUCUCUGUUUCUCCACCUUCCAUUUUUCUGCUCCCUCUUAGCAGACAGCCCCUUCUCUGACUUAAGUAAUCCCACACCCACUUUUUCCUUCUCCUCCAUCAGAAACUGGUUUUGUAACAAUUAUGUUUGUCGAUUAACCCACAGAAUGUUAAUUUAAUGUGAAUGAAUUUUAAUGGAUGUGGUAAAUCAACCAGGCCUUUGAAUUCAAACCUUUUACGAGCUUUGAGAAUACUGGCACUUGGAACGGCUCGCCAUGGUGCCCCCAGCCCCUGACUCAGUACCUGGCAGGCAAAUAGCAAACUGCUGUUGAAUGAAUAAUGAAAUCCUGGUUCCCUCUCACUUGAAGGAAUUCAAGCUGAAGGGCUGAGAGAGGGGGAGGCUUAGAGGAGUGGGUGAACGGCAGUCCCAGGGGCCGUCUGAGGAUGAACCCGGCACUUCCUCCAAGGUGUCUGAUGGGGAUGUCAGAAGCAGAAGCCACAUGAUGGUCUAGGUAUGCUCAGCCUUUUCUGCCUGGCUUCCUCGCUGACCUCAUGAGCCAGGCCUUUGAUUCAACUGGGCUCCUCCAUCUGUCAUUGACAACCAGGCCUAUAACACAUCCCACCAGGAGCCAAGAGAAGGUGGAAGAGGCAAGCGAGUGUUCUCCUCUAGAGCCUUUGGAGAGAGUGUGACUCUGCUGACAACUUCAUUUCAGACUUCUGGCCUCCAGAACUGUACCUCGGAAGGGUCAUAGGAAGGCUGGUGCUGGGAUUAUUGGAGAAGCUGGAG
rnacentral:lncRNA from 1 species